GUAGGGAAUAUUGCGCAAUGGACGAAAGUCUGACGCAGCGACGCCGCGUGAGUGAUGAAGGCCUUAGGGUCGUAAAGCUCUGUUGAAUGGGAAGAAAAAAAUGACGGUACCAUUCGAGGAAGGACCGGCUAACUUCGUGCCAGCAGCCGCGGUAAUACGAGGGGUCCUAGCGUUGUUCGGAAUCAUUGGGCGGAAAGGGUGUGUAGGUGGCCAUGUAAGUCAGGUGUGAAAGCCCCGGGCUCAACCCGGGAAGUGCACUUGAUACUGCGUGGCUUGAGUACCGAAGAGGGUAGUGGAAUUCCAGGUGUAGUGGUGAAAUACGUAGAUAUCUGGAGGAACACCGGUGGCGAAGGCGGCUACCUGGUCGAGUACUGACACUGAGACACGAAAGCAUGGGGAUCAAACAGGAUUAGAAACCCCAGUAGUCC
rnacentral:rRNA from 1 species